AUGGCUAUGGAAGGCAGAACCGGUGCAGCCCUCAUCGCGGCGCUCUGCGCCGUGUGCUUGCUGCCGGGUCUGGCCAGGGCGCAGCUCCGGGUGGGGUUCUACCAGAGGAGCUGCCCCAACGCGGAGGCGCUUGUCCGGCAGGCCGUUGCGGCCGCCUUCGCCAAGGACGCCGGAAUCGCCGCCGGCCUCAUCCGCCUUCAUUUCCACGACUGCUUCGUUCGGGGCUGCGAUGCCUCAGUUCUGCUGGCCACCAACCCCGGCGGGGGCAGGACAGAACGGGUGGCUCCUCCGAACAACCCCAGCCUCCGCGGCUUCGAGGUGAUCGACGCGGCCAAGGCCGCGCUCGAACGGAGCUGCCCCCGCACCGUCUCCUGCGCCGACAUCCUCGCCUUCGCCGCGCGCGACAGCAUCACCCUCACCGGCAACGUCGUCUACUCUGUCCCCGCCGGCCGCCGUGACGGCAGCAUCUCUCGCGAGGAGGACGCCAACAACAACCUGCCCCCGCCGACCUUCACCGCGCAGCAGCUCAUCGACCGGUUCCAGAACAAGACCCUAACCGCCGAGGAGAUGGUCCUCCUCUCCGGCGCCCACACCGUCGGCCGCUCCUUCUGCUCCUCCUUCGUGGACCGCAUCUGGAACGGCAACACUCCCAUCGUGGAUGCAGGGCUGAGCCCGUCGUACGCGGCGCAGCUGCGGGUGCUGUGCCCGUCGAACACGUCGCAGGCGACGGCCCCGAUCGACCCGGGCUCGCCCAACGUGCUGGACAACAACUACUACAAGUUGCUGCCGCGCGGCAUGGGGCUCUUCUUCUCCGACAACCAGCUCCGGGUCGACGGGAACCUCAACGUGCUGGUGAACCGCUUCGCGGGGAACGAGACCCUGUGGAAGGAACGCUUCGCGGCCGCCAUGGUGAAGAUGGGCCGCAUCCAGGUGCAGACCGGGAACUGCGGCCAGGUACGGCUCAACUGCAACGUCGUCAACCCGACGUCGUCGUCGGUCAGCCUGGCGGGCUCAGUCGAAGAGGACGGCCUCGUUGCCACGAGCUAG
rnacentral:rRNA from 1 species